AUUGAACGCUGGCGGCGGGCCUAACACAUGCAAGUCGAGCGGAUGAGAGGAGCUUGCUCCUUGAUUCAGCGGCGGACGGGUGAGUAAUGCCUAGGAAUCUGCCUGGUAGUGGGGGACAACGGUUCGAAAGGAACGCUAAUACCGCAUACGUCCUACGGGAGAAAGCAGGGGACCUUCGGGCCUUGCGCUAUCAGAUGAGCCUAGGUCGGAUUAGCUAGUAGGUGGGGUAAUGGCCCACCUAGGCGACGAUCCGUAACUGGUCUGGGAGGAUGAUCAGUCACACUGGAACUGAGACACGGUCCAGACUCCUACGGGAGGCAGCAGUGGGGAAUAUUGGACAAUGGGCGAAAGCCUGAUCCAGCCAUGCCGCGUGUGUGAAGAAGGUCUUCGGAUUGUAAAGCACUUUAAGUUGGGAGGAAGGGCAGUAAGUUAAUACCUUGCUGUUUUGACGUUACCGACAGAAUAAGCACCGGCUAACUUCGUGCCAGCAGCCGCGGUAA
rnacentral:rRNA from 1 species